rnacentral:rRNA from 1 species
AGGAAUAUUGGUCAGUGGGCGAGAGCCUGAACCAGCCAAGUAGCGUGCAGGAUGACGGCCCUAUGGGUUGUAAACUGCUUUUAUAAGGGAAUAAAGUUAGUCUCGUGAGACUUUUUGCAUGUACCUUAUGAAUAAGGACCGGCUAAUUCCGUGCCAGCAGCCGCGGUAAUACGGAAGGUCCGGGCGUUAUCCGGAUUUAUUGGGUUUAAAGGGUGCGUAGGCGGCACGCCAAGUCAGCGGUGAAAUUUCCGGGCUCAACCCGGACUGUGCCGUUGAAACUGGCGAGCUAGAGUGCACAAGAGGCAGGCGGAAUGCGUGGUGUAGCGGUGAAAUGCAUAGAUAUCACGCAGAACCCCGAUUGCGAAGGCAGCCUGCUAGGGUGCGACAGACGCUGAGGCACGAAAGCGUGGGUAUCGAACAGGAUUAGAUACCCUGGUAGUCCACGCAGUAAACGAUGAAUACUAACUGUUUGCGAUACAAUGUAAGCGGUACAGCGAAAGCGUUAAGUAUUCCACCUGGGGAGUACGCCGGCAACGGUGAAACUCAAAGGAAUUGACGGGGGCCCGCACAAGCGGAGGAACAUGUGGUUUAAUUCGAUGAUACGCGAGGAACCUUACCCGGGCUCAAACGCAGGGGGAAUAUAUAUGAAAGUAUAUAGCUAGCAAUAGUCACCUGCGAGGUGCUGCAUGGUUGUCGUCAGCUCGUGCCGUGAGGUGUCGGCUUAAGUGCCAUAACGAGCGCAACCCCUAUGGACAGUUACUAACGGGUGAAGCCGAGGACUCUGUCUAGACUGCCGGCGCAAGCCGCGAGGAAGGUGGGGAUGACGUCAAAUCAGCACGGCCCUUACGUCCGGGGCGACACACGUGUUACAAUGGCAGGUACAGAAGGCAGCCAGUCAGCAAUGACGCGCGAAUCCCGAAAACCUGUCUCAGUUCGGAUUGGAGUCUGCAACCCGACUCCAUGAAGCUGGAUUCGCUAGUAAUCGCGCAUCAGCCAUGGCGCGGUGAAUACGUUCCCG